GACGAACGCUGGCGGCGUGGAUUAGGCAUGCAAGUCGAACGGUAUCAUCCUUUCGGGGGUGAGAGAGUGGCGAACUGGUGAGUAACACGUAGGUUAUCUACCCUCAAGACGGGGACAACCCAGGGAAACUUGGGCUAAUACCGGAUGUGAGCAACUUUUAGUUGUUUGAAAGGUGGCGUAAGCUGUCGCUUGGGGAUGAGCCUGCGUCCUAUUAGUUAGUUGGUGAGGUAACGGCUCACCUAGGCAAUGAUAGGUAGGCGGCCUUAACGGGUGGUCGCCCACACUGGGAUUGAGAUACGGCCCAGACUCCUACGGGAGGCAGCAGUCGAGAAUAGUCUACAAUGGUCGGAAGACUGAUAGUGCGACGCCGCGUGAACGAUGAAUCCCUUCGGGGUUAAAGUUCUUUUAUAUGUGAGCAGUGCUUCUUAUAUUAACAGUAUGGGGAGAGGAGAUAUUAGCAUAUGAAUAAGCAACGGCUAACUCCGUGCCAGCAGCCGCGGUAAACUCGU
rnacentral:rRNA from 1 species